GAUGAACGCUGGCGGCGUGCCUAAUACAUGCAAGUCGAGCGAACAGACGAGGAGCUUGCUCCUCUGACGUUAGCGGCGGACGGGUGAGUAACACGUGGAUAACCUACCUAUAAGACUGGGAUAACUUCGGGAAACCGGAGCUAAUACCGGAUAAUAUAUUGAACCGCAUGGUUCAAUAGUGAAAGACGGUUUUGCUGUCACUUAUAGAUGGAUCCGCGCCGCAUUAGCUAGUUGGUAAGGUAACGGCUUACCAAGGCGACGAUGCGUAGCCGACCUGAGAGGGUGAUCGGCCACACUGGAACUGAGACACGGUCCAGACUCCUACGGGAGGCAGCAGUAGGGGAUCUUCCGCAAUGGGCGAAAGCUUGACGGAGCAACGCCGCGUGAGUGAUGAAGGUCUUCGGAUCGUAAAACUCUGUUAUUAGGGAAGAACAAAUGUGUAAGUAACUAUGCACGUCUUGACGGUACCUAAUCAGAAAGCCACGGCUAACUACGUG
rnacentral:rRNA from 1 species